rnacentral:rRNA from 1 species
AAUGAACGUUGGCGGCGUGGAUUAGGCAUGCAAGUCGAGCGGAAAGGCCCCGCAAGGGGCACUCGAGCGGCGAAAGGGAUAGUAACGCGUGGACAACCUGCCCUGGGGACGGGGAUAGCUGGGGGAAACUCCAAUUAAUACCCGAUGACGUCUCCGGACCAAAGGUGUGAUUCCGCCCUGGGAGGGGUCCGCGUCCUAUCAGCUAGUUGGUGAGGUAACGGCUCACCAAGGCAACGACGGGUAGCGGGUGUGAGAGCACGACCCGCAUCACUGGGACUGAGACACUGGCCAGACACCUACGGGUGGCUGCAGUCGAGAAUCUUCGUCAAUGGGCGAAAGCCUGAACGAGCGACGCCGCGUGCGGGAUGAAGGCCUUCGGGUUGUAAACCGCUGUCAGUGGGGAGGAAAUGCCGGAGGGAUCACCCUCCGGUUUGACCGACCCGCAGAGGAAGGACGGGCUAAGUUCGUGCCAGCCGCCGCUGUAAUAC